CAUCCCCAACAACCGCGGCCACAAAAAAACCCCAUCAACAUAUCACCCUUAUUUCCCCAUCAAACGACCGAUUCUUCAUCCUUCUCUGUCCCUUCUUGCCAACAUCAUUCUCUUAUUUCACCAUUGUCACGCUGCCCAGAAUAACACCAAACCCCGUCCCAGUUACAUUCUCAACCACUAUGCACCACUUCUGCCUGCGUACUUUUUUUAACUUACAGGGUAACCGGUUUCUUCGUCGACUUAUUCUCAUUUUUCACCUCUGAACAUUUGUUUCACUCUUUUGCACCUAAAGCUAAGCGGAAGAAGAAAACUCGUACAGAGGCGAAGCCAGGAUUCGAAGCUUGUUGGUUCGGGGUUUUAAUUCUUUAAAGUUACUGGGUUCUUAAUUAAUAAUUUGUACAUAUUUGACAAAAAUUUUAAUACAAAUAUAUGGCUCGGACAAAAGCUACUGGGUUCGGCCGAACCCCCACCCGAAGGGCUGGCUCCGCCCGUGAACUCGUAGCCAUAGGCUCCACUCCCAUUGUCAUCAUCUGCUUUGUGAUUUUGAGUAUGUUUCCAAUUUCGGUGCGCAGUGCCGCCUAAGGCAUAGAGAAAAAUCAACAGAAGAGAAGUUUACCCCAAUCUAUGUAUUCUAAUUACUGAUGCAGGACAUGACGCCAGACCACAUCCUACUCAGUUUUCCGCCUUCUGAAAUUAAUUAUUUUUGUCUACAUGAUAACCGGGACUACAAGAGUUGAGGAUAACUAUUAGAAGUCUACUUGCUUGUAUUGUUGAUCCAAAAUCCCUUUUACUUAUUCAAAUCGGUGGUUAUACAUUGUGACAACUUAAAGUUAAUUAAUUGAUUUAUCUGUAUCUCAUGCUUUCUUCAUCCUUCACUUUCAACUUAGAUAAUCAUGAAUUCUUACCGGAACUAAAAAGUAAUUUUGUUUCAGGGGUUAAUUGCAGUUUGUUUUCCUGGUACAAUUAGUAACUAACAAAAAGUAUAGUGAUCUGUCAGGACCGAUUAAUAGAGAGAAUACGUGAGUUUUGCAGGCUUAGUUUUGAGUCUUUAUUCAGAAGAUGAGAGAUUGAUAGUUGUGAAACAGUGAAUGAAUAGGAAAUAUCGGCUGAAACUUGAAACAAAAGAUGAGGAAGAUGAAUUGCCCACACUGUACACGACACCAGUGGCUGCUUCUGCUCCUGUUAAGGAUGAGACUGAGAAUAAUGUUGCCAUACUAGCCUAAGGUUGAAGAAGCAUCAAGAAUAACAACUUAAGUUAAAGGCUUAAUAUGACAGUAAAUAAUGAACAAAUCAAUUUGGCUGGGGAAUUCUUUCUCUAUAUGUAAUAAUUUUUCUUAUAAUCUUUUUUAUUGUGUGCUUUUUCCCUCUUUCGCUUAAAGUAGACAAAAGCUGGAUGAAUUAUUAUUCAUAGUUCUUCUUCUUUCUUCCUUAUCCGUUGUAAGUUUGUGUGCAAUUUCUCAAGCCAGUGUUCCUCCUGAUUCCUCAAAGCCUUUUUCAUUAGUACAAUACAAUAUAUGUUUCCUCCUUUUUCAUUAUUUCUCUUAAUUGCUAUUUAUAGUAUUAUUGUUUAUUUAGUAUGAUAAUACAGAGGCGUUUCAUUAAGAUGAGCCUAGAUGUGAUAAUCUUAUGUUUUGACUUUCACUUUUAAGUGAGUAAGGAUACAAAUUUAACUGAUAUACAUGAUAGUGUAAAAGUUUUUUGUUGUUAAUAUAGUUUUUCCAGUUGUGUUAUACAAUUUACCCUUUAUGAUAGUUCAUGGUAGAAUCAUGAAGAGAUUGUAGUUGAUAAAGAUUGUUAGUAAUGCGAAUUAAUUAUUUACCCAUAUUUUUGUUUUUGUUAUCAGUACGGAUUGCGAAAUCUCCUUAAAUAGCCCCAUGUAAAGCAUAUACUCAACUACCUAUCAUAAUAUUCCCGCCGUAAACAAACAACUACCACCAGAAUUUAUGGCGGCCCCGUCACAGAACAAUGGUCGCUCUAUCUAAUAGUAACCAAAUAUUGCUCUCUCUUCCACUGUCUUCCUCUCAAUCUGCAACUCCUCGAGUAUUUAACCACCUCGGAUUUUCUUACAUUCGUCGGAGAGCUCAUUCAAGGAAGUACAAACUCUGGAGUCAACUCCUCAUCCUCUAGGAACAUGAAAGGACGACGAAGAGAAUUGGCUACGUCAAGUAUAACUCCUUUGGCUUUCCCAACUCUAGCAAAAACGCAGUGCACAUCUAGAUGCAACAUCUAUCAACAGGCUGGGACUAUAGUUUCUUGCGGUAUAAUCAUCUCUAUUCGAUAGGCUCUUUAAAAUGGUGAUAUGAUAAUACACAGUCAAUUUAUGUGCAUAAUUAAUUUGAUCACUAGAGAUAAAAGUCUAUUAUUGUUAACAUUCAAAUUAUGGCGUAUAUUGUUUUAUACCUUGAUAUUUUGCUAUCUUAUUUUUCUUGCAAGCCUACAUUGACUUCGUUUUUUUUUAGCCGAGGGUCUAUCGAAAACAGCCUAUCUGCCCCACAAAGGUAGAGUUAAGGUCUGCGUAUAUCCUACUCUUCUCAGAUCUCACUUAUGGGAUUACACUAGGUAUGUUAUUUUUAUUGUUAUUCAAAUUACCGUGUAUACAUUAGGAGCGCCGAUUAGAUUUUUCACUAAUUAAUGGUUCUUAAACCCUUUAAGAAAAUUCCUACACUGAAGAUACCUUCUACAACCAAAAAUUCCUACACUGAAGAUACCUUCUACAACCAAGAAACGUGAAGUCAGUUUUAAAAAAAAUGAAGUUGUAUAACUUUACCAUGAUCAGAUGGAACGAAGUUGUAAUUACUCUUUGUUUGUAAUAAGUAGAGAAUAGGUCCCUUUGAAAAUUGUUAUGACUCAGUAUGUAUGGUUUUUCUUUACUUUGUGCUGUAAACCUGUUCUUUUGUGACCUGCACAAAAUUAAUACUCCAAAUUUAAGUAUAAUCUCCUUAUCUAUUGAUUAGUGUGAAGUUGUAUCUAUGGUUUGUUAUGGGAUACAGAAUUAUAAACCUCGAAUAUUUGACUUUCGGAUUUGCAUUUGUCCUUGAAGUAGGAAGUGCAUAUGCAGCAGGUUGAAAAAGGAAGUUAGGCUCUCUUUGCCAGGAGAACCAUCAGUUGUAGCCUUGUAGGGUUAUAUCAUCAAAACUCCUCUAAAGCCACUAUUACAACCAGUAUAAGAUGGGAACAAGUUAAGAUUCGGUGCAUCAACAACAGUGCAAAGCCAAUGGCGUCAAAAGAAGACGAUAUAAACAUUAUGGACUGCAGAUACUUUCCGCUCUCAUGAGAGGAAAGAAGAUUAUGUUUAUGUUGGUAGAUUUGCUAUUCAGUGUUCUCACAUCUUUUUAUUUGUUUAGAUAGCUAGGUUAUUUUGGAGACAAUUUUGACGAGUGAGCAACGACAGAAAAGUGUAUUUUGUUGUGAUUUACUAUAAUUUUGGAAGCUCUUUUUGUCAGGCGUUAUUAAUAUAUGAUACUUUCAAGUUUAA